rnacentral:rRNA from 1 species
AUUGAACGCUGGCGGCAGGCUUAACACAUGCAAGUCGAGCGCGCGGCGGACGGGUGAGUAAUGUCUGGGAAACUGCCUGAUGGGGGGGGAUCACUACUGGAAGCGGUAGCUAAUACCGCAUACCAUCAGAUGUGCCCAGAUGAGAUUAGCUAGUAGGUGGGGUAAGGGCUCACCUAGGCGACGAUCCCUAGCUGGUCUGAGAGGAUGACCAGCCACACUGGAACUGAGACACGGUCCAGACGCCUACGGGAGGCAGCAGUGGGGAAUAUUGAACAAUGGGCGCAAGCCUGAUGCAGCCAUGCCGCGUGUAUGAAGAAGGCCUUAGGGUUGUAAAGUACUUUCAGUGGGGAGGCGUUACCGGCAGAAGAAGCACCGGCUAACUCCGUGCCAGCAGCCGCGGUAAUAC